AUCAGUGUGUGUGUUAGUGGAAGCGUCUGGAAAGGCGCGCGAUACAGGGUGACAGCCCCGUACACAAAAAUGCACAUGCUGUGAGCUCGAUGAGUAGGGCGGGACACGUGGUAUCCUGUCUGAAUAUGGGGGGACCAUCCUCCAAGGCUAAAUACUCCUGACUGACCGAUAGUGAACCAGUACCGUGAGGGAAAGGCGAAAAGAACCCCGGCGAGGGGAGUGAAAAAGAACCUGAAACCGUGUACGUACAAGCAGUGGGAGCACGCUUAGGCGUGUGACUGCGUACCUUUUGUAUAAUGGGUCAGCGACUUAUAUUCUGUAGCAAGGUUAACCGAAUAGGGGAGCCGAAGGGAAACCGAGUCUUAACUGGGCGUUAAGUUGCAGGGUAUAGACCCGAAACCCGGUGAUCUAGCCAUGGGCAGGUUGAAGGUUGGGUAACACUAACUGGAGGACCGAACCGACUAAUGUUGAAAAAUUAGCGGAUGACUUGUGGCUGGGGGUGAAAGGCCAAUCAAACCGGGAGAUAGCUGGUUCUCCCCGAAAGCUAUUUAGGUAGCGCCUCGUGAAUUCAUCUCCGGGGGUAGAGCACUGUUUCGGCAAGGGGGUCAUCCCGACUUACCAACCCGAUGCAAACUGCGAAUACCGGAGAAUGUUAUCACGGGAGACACACGGCGGGUGCUAACGUCCGUCGUGAAGAGGGAAACAACCCAGACCGCCAGCUAAGGUCCCAAAGUCAUGGUUAAGUGGGAAACGAUGUGGGAAGGCCCAGACAGCCAGGAUGUUGGCUUAGAAGCAGCCAUCAUUUAAAGAAAGCGUAAUAGCUCACUGGUCGAGUCGGCCUGCGCGGAAGAUGUAACGGGGCUAAACCAUGCACCGAAGCUGCGGCAGCGACGCUUAUGCGUUGUUGGGUAGGGGAGCGUUCUGUAAGCCUGUGAAGGUGUACUGUGAGGUAUGCUGGAGGUAUCAGAAGUGCGAAUGCUGACAUAAGUAACGAUAAAGCGGGUGAAAAGCCCGCUCGCCGGAAGACCAAGGGUUCCUGUCCAACGUUAAUCGGGGCAGGGUGAGUCGACCCCUAAGGCGAGGCCGAAAGGCGUAGUCGAUGGGAAACAGGUUAAUAUUCCUGUACUUGGUGUUACUGCGAAGGGGGGACGGAGAAGGCUAUGUUGGCCGGGCG
rnacentral:rRNA from 1 species